CAUGAUAAAUGCCAUGUGCAUGUUUUUUUUUUAAAUAAAAUAAAUAAAGGUAGUCCUGUCUCUGGACUCUGACCCUCAAAUCUAGUCUAUUUUAUACCUACACUUACGUUUUUUUCCUAAGAUGAAAUACACUGAUUCCACUAGCCUGAUCUGUCAUGUCUGUAGUAUAUUUUUCUGCUCUCUUUCAACAAAUCUAAGCUUAUUUCUCAUGUUUUCUGUUAUCCACACAUCAACUAUUGCUAAAUAAUUUUAAAGCAGUCUACUUUUUUACAUCUCCAUGAAAAUAACACUUAAUAUUUCCCUAAACUAUAGCUCUCGAUUAUAUUCUCUCCUACAUAGUUAGAAUUGCAAUUAGUAAACAAAUAGAAUUCUACAUACGCCUCUAUUUGAAUAUACUUUUAUUAGAAUUCUACAUACGCCUCUAUUUGAAUACAUUUUUAUUAGAAUUCUAUAUAUGCAUCUGUUUGAAUGUCCUUUUAUUAGAAUUCUAUAUAUGAUUGGCUAUUCUUGGUGUUUUUCAAAAUUCAGUUUAAAAGAAUGGAAUUCAUUGCCUUCCAGAUUCUCUCCAGAUUCAUUUGCUCCUUUUUUUCCCGUAAUUAUUUGCUUAUGGUUCCACCAGUAUGUACUCUAGAGAAAUGGUCAUGCAUGUGCUGAAGGAGACGUGCACAAGGAUUACAUAGAUACAUACAUUACAACAUGAAGAAGUUGUUGACAUAUUUACUUUAAAAUAAAAACUAAUUUUAGAAUAAUAGAGAGCAUUAAAGACAUUUAGAUAAAAUACACAAAGAGACAGAUAUGUCUUAUAGCUACUUAACCUCCUUUCUAUAUGCCUUAGUAAGGUUUUGAAUACAAUAAGAAAUGCAGGGGAUUUGAAUCUAGGCAAAAUGAAGCCAUGGCCCAGGAUUCUUCUUUAAAAUGUGGCUUCUAUCUGGACAGAUGGGACACCACUCAUUUGACAAAAGAUUACUCAUAUGAGUGGUAGUAGGACAGAAAGAAUGUCACAUAUUUUUUAGGGAUUUUAGAAAAUAUAAUUUUAAAGGGGGCAGUAGUUCAAUACUGCUUUAAAAAUAAUACUCCCUGGCCGGGCGCGGUGGCUCUCGCCUGUAAUCCCAGCACUUUGGGAGGCCCAAACGAGGGGAUCACGAGGUCAGGAUAUCAAGACCAUCCUGGCUAACAUGACAAAUUAUACCUAUUUUUCUCAAUAACACAUGGCUACAGUGAAAGACUUCCAUUUAUUGAUCACUUUUUGGCCUCUGGCUGAGAUCAAGAGCACUACCUGAAGAUGAAAGAUGCCAGGAGCUGAUUUGCAGAGCCUCUCCCUACACAUUUUGUUGUAUUGAAUUUGUUUCAUUUUAUUCUCUCAUCUUUCAUGGAAUGUUACAAUUACCUAAAUUAUAGACUAAUACAGAAGUUUUUGAGCAAAAAAGUGUAUGUGCUGUGAAGGUCCACAUUUUAAACGAUCCUAAAACGUAAUUGUUUUAGAACGGGCACUUGUCCGGGUCCCAGUGAAUGACUCAUUUUACGGCAUCACAUUCAAUAUGGAUUCUAUCAAAGGAAAACCAACUCAUUCUCAAGAUGAAAUUCAUCCUUUGCAUAUUAUGUACCAAUGACAUCAUUCAUUCAGUGCCAAUUAUGGAAAAAUAGGUUUCAACAUAGAGUGGCUUGUACUGUUUAUUUAAUAAAACUUUCAGAAUGUGUUUCCUUUAUAAUUUC